AAUUUCUGGUUCCUCUCACCCGGAAACCCUAAUCCCCAAAUCGCAACAUCCCGAGCAACGAGCAACGAUGGACCUUCGCCUCGCCGCCGCCUCCCGCAAAAUUGGCCGCCCCGACUACGUCCUCCUCUGCACAUAUGGGUGCAGCGACGCGGUGGACAUUAACAAGACCACAGCGUGCGUCUCGCUGAGCAAAAUGGGAUGCAUCAAGGUAACCAUCUCAAAACAAGAUCUGCCAUCGAUCUCCUACUUCCAUGUUACCUGUCCCGACCUCACAGAGAACCCCUUCACCCAAAGUCCUGAGAUCCUUUGGUCGUCGGAGAACUUCAUCCUCUUCCGUGUCCAUCUCGUGGGACCCGGCCCACCAGAGUUCUUCCUCUAUAUGGUCGAAGGCCCGGAGUUCAAGAGGCCGAUGCUUAGUCUGCUUCCUGACUUUGGCUCGUAUUGUGUUCGCGAGAUGCUAGAUCCAUACCUUGUAGGCGUCGUUCCCGACGAUGACGGCAAGAGCCAUUUCGUGACCGCUUUCAAAAGGAAGGAGUCAGCGGAUUGCGAACUCCACAUCUACAGGCUUGAAGGCAGUACCGGGACCUGGAGCAAAGAGCAUAUUUUCCCAGAUUUCCCCUCCUGGGCACGUUCAGGGGUUUUUCCAGAUAAGGUGGUUGCAUUAGGUCAAGAAGUGGGCUAUGUCGAUCUCUUGAAGGGGAUUCUUUUCUGCAAUGUGGUCAAAAAUCCGGUGAAGGCACAUUUCAUUCCAUUGCCGAACCUGCUACCCAACAACCAACACUACUUCUAUGAAGAAUUGCCAGGACAGGCAAUACGUGAUGUCACCUGCACUGAUAGUUAUAAAAUCAUGUGUGUUGAGCUGGAAGAUUUAUUCGGUUUCACAACCAGAAUCCCUGAUCCUGAUGUACUCCAUGAUUUUGAAGUUGAUCCAUCUAUGAAGGUGGUAAAGCACAUGCGUGUUGGUUGGAGGCUCGUGACAUGGUAUCGGGAGAUUUUUUGGGACCAUUGGCAAAAGGUGUGUAAGAUUCAUGUUGAUGAACUUGGAGAAGUCUCCUUGCCUCCUCAUGGUAGAACAGAACCCUUGCCACCCAAGAACCUGAAACCAUCUUCUAGAGCUAAAAAGUUGCCUCUGAGCGACCUGCAAACAGCUUGUCCGAUCCUCUGUGGCGAUUAUGUUUGCCUCCUCUCCAAGUGGGACUAUCGUGAUGAUGAGGCUUGGAUUGUCACUGUUGACAUGUGGAAGAAAGCAGUGAGAGGACUGGUGCGAGUUAAAGAUGGGAUAUCCAUGCGUCUCAAUCCAGCCUACAUAUCCUUUGUGAUGAAGAAUUAUCGCAAGGGUGAAUCAGAUGGACGUAGCUCUCUUGUGAAGGAUACUCCUUUUCACGGCAAACGUUGUCUGGUAUGUGCUGUUAUCCUUAUGUUCUUCUGCUGGUAUUUCCAUUCCUCCCUAUUCAGGUAUGAUUAUCUAAAUCUUGGUUUUGCAAUCGCUCCUGGAAAACACUAGUAGCAGUUUCCAGCCGAAGAGGAUACUGAGGGGUUCGACAAUGGAACAAAGAGAACGAUAUGGUUGAGUCGACCUCCAUAGGAUCGCCACCAAUAAGCUCAUGCAAUCCUUAUCAGUGAUGAUGCAAGUUUUGGACAAGGAUCUUCAUUCAUUUGAAGCACUGAUGAUGAUUUAAGUUAGAUGUGUGUCAGUUGUGCUUUAAAACCAUCAUGCUUAUUCUGCGUGUAAUGUUGUUUAAUGCAUAUUGAUCCUUCUAGUUGUGUAUCUAUGCCAUGUUAGCAUCGGAUAUGUCAGUAAUAUGAUUUAAAACCAUCGUACUUAUUCUAA